AACAAGUUGAUGAAAUGGAGAGAAUAAAGGUUUUAUUUGCAUUUCUUUCAAAAUAUAGUAAUUAAAAAUAUAAUUAUUAAUUAUAAAUGUAUAAUUAAAUUGAAAUUAUCAUUAAUUUAAAAGAAGGUAUAAAAGGCAGAACCCUCAAAAUAUCGGUAUCUGCAGAUAUCACACUGAAUAAUCGGCUAUAUAUAUAUAUAUAUAUAUAUAUAUAUAUAUAUAUAUAUAUAUAUAUAUAUAUAUAUAUAUAUAUAUAUAUAUAUAUAUAUAUAUAUAUAUAUAUAGGAAAUGUGCUUAAUUGUCAUGAAACUGAACAAUUGUAAAAUACAUAUAUUUUGUGAAAUAUGACAAGUUUAGUGAGAUUCGCUUGUUAACCGUAUAUGAGAUUGAGAUAUCGACAGAUGGUCAUCAUCCCAUCAUGCACAUUAAACUACCUAUAUUCAGAGACUAGAGUGAGUUUCAGAGGAUCAUGGGAAAUCGUGUUCUUUAGUAGGCAUCAUCAUCAUCAUUCCAAGGACCCUCGUUGGUUUCUGAGGCGUUUCUGCAGAAGACGCCGUGACACUGUGAAUGCGUUCGGCUGCGCUCUUUAACAGUCGCUGUUCAGUUGACUUUGCAGUUCUGUUGAAGCACUGAUCUGUUGGGAUUCAGGAAUCGCUGCGAUCCACUGGGUGGAAACUCAGAUGUUUUUAAAAAGUGCUAAACCCGGAGGUCUGGAUCGCAGCUAUCUCUCAUAUUUAAGUGUUUUGCUCAACGGCUUUUGUUUUAUAAUAUUAUCACUGUGGUCGAUAAACACAUGCUUAUUCUUCAGGUGCGUUCACGUCAUGUUGGGAUAUCCAUAGUUAAGCCUACCAUUUUCAAAUCCGUAAUUACAAUUUUUUUUUUUUUAUUAUUUAUAAAAGUAGCAUAGAGGUGAAUUAAUGUUCUUGUUUUAGUAUUUUGACUUUUGUAAUUCCGACAUGACGAGAGCACAGCAUUUCAUUGUUCUGAUUUCGGGUGUUUGGUGAAAUGUGUUCGGACUGCAUGAACAGAGUCAUUUUGACCAGCUCUUGUACUCUGGGACAGACUUUUGUAAAAUCUUUCUACAUCCUGUUUUGGCACAUGAUUCUGCACUGGCCUUUUCAAAUCUAACUAUGAAACGUCUUCUAAUGCUUCUGAUGUUCUCAUCGUACAUCAUUCUGGUGUUUUGGUGCUGGUGUUACUAUAAAGAUUAAACAUGUCCAAUACUGAACAACUUUCUAAAGUGUUAAUAAAUGAAAGCAGUAACAACUCUAGUGCAUGUGUUUGUUUCAUCUGGAAUAUUGUGGCUUAAGUCCAAGUUUCACAUAUGGCAAGAUGAAGACUGUUCAAGAUUACCAAAGUCAAUACACCAAACCUUCUUCCAAAACGUGUUUUUGUAUUAGCCUCUGAUUCAUUUUUUUUUUUUAUUAAGAACUUAACACUGCAAAAAAACAAGCACCAAUGACAAAGCUCCAAAGAUAAAUGGGAGAGGGAAAAAAAACGGACAUUCACAAGACGCCAAAUACAGACUCAUAAUAUGUAACAAUAGAAUUACCUUUUACAUUUUUCACAAGUUUAAAAGAUUUCAUUAAAAGAAUGAGUUUGUUACAGAAACCCUUAUAUAAAGGAGGAGAUUUGGAUAAUCCACAUUUGUGAAUAAAGAAUUUACCAUUCAGGAUAAUGAAGUUUACAAAAUUGUCAAUAUUUUUGUCUUCAUGUUCAUAAUAACAAAUAAUAGCUUUCAGGUUUAAAUUUAUUGUCGAUCUAACUUUGGCAGAGAAAGUGAGAAAACAGUCUUUCCAAAAUGUCUGUACACUGACAAUCAAAACAAAUGGCAUAGAGACUCCUCAGUACAAUUACAGAAAGAGCAUUCUUCAACAUCAAUAAACUUAGAGAGUAAGAUAUUAGUUGGAUCUAUUUUAUGUAAUAUCUUAAGGUGAAUUUCUCUUUAUUUGAAAUACAAAAUUUGUAAGGUAACAGCCAUGCCUUUCUCCAAUUAACAUCUCUAAGAAGGGAAUUCCAGUAAAAUUUUCCUCUUGGAGUAACUUACUUUCUUGUCUAAUAUGUUAGUGCAUUUUUUAUCAAAUACAUUUUUGCCAUUUAAAAAAAAAAAUUUGUCUUUAUUAUCUACAAUAUAAUAAGACAGAUGGCUGGUCAUCAAAUUAAUAAGUCCAGAAGGGAUAGCUUUACUAUUGUAACAAAUUAUUUAUAUUUUAUAGGAAAACUGAACUUAAACAUAAAAGAAUAAAUGUUUUGUGUUGAAUCAAACAGAUCACUCAAGUAAUUUAAACCAUGAUCCAACCAUUUCUCCAAAUAUAUACUGUUGCCUUUAAUUGUAAUCAAUUCGUUAUUCCAAAUUUUCAUUUUGUGAGGAGAAAAAUUAUUUACGAAACAGUUUCCAUGCUAAAAGUGCUUGCUCAUCAAAUUUAGACAAUUUUAUGAGUAAUUAAGCGAAAAAUUACAGGUUAAAAGAAAAUUAAGACCACCCACUUUCUUAAAAAAUAUUAUGAGACCUGUCUGUCGGGAUGGUUUUCGCGGGAAACUGAGUACACGCGCCACUUGCCCGCGCUUAUCUCUUCAGUUCAUAAACAGAGAAAAGAUGCUCCGACUACUUGUAUGGCGUGGGAACGGCAUAGGUCAGUUGUCACAAACGAGCGAGAAAGGUUGACGUGGAGCAGCUAAAUCACAAACCAUUUUAAAUAAACGAACAGAGGAGAGUCUUCUGGCAAAAAAGAACGUGACAGAACCUGUAAUAAAGCGAGAAUCAGCACGGGUUCAUUUCAAAGAUGGCUGAGGGAUUUCAAAUGUUGUAAAAGCGACGCGGAGAUGGUGUUUUUAUAACUUUACAAGGUGUUGGCGCCGUAAACCAACUGCGCAAAUAUAUCUCCAAUUGUGUUUGUCUGAAAGAAGAUCGUCAUAUACACCUAGGAUGGCUUGAGGACUUUGCGCGCCUUUUUGAUCAUGGGCUGCGGCUUCAGCUCCUCCGCGCUGAAUUUGCGCUUGCGAGGGUCGAAGAUUUCCUGUCCUGGGACGCUGGAUAGGGCGAGGUCAGCGGGGUCGGGCUCGUACCCAAC